UGGCAAGACAACGUUUGCCGGUCAGCUAGUGUCAUAUAAAAUUGAUUUUUACUUUUAACCAGAACAAUCUUUACUGUAGAUAUAAUUGUGCGGCAAUACGAUAGCUACAGUUUACAACAAUCAAUUCCCGGAACUACGUAUUUCAUAGAAUUAAUAUUAACAGUACUGUCAUUGGCAAAGUGACGUCUCGACACUCUUAGAAAGUUGUAUAAUAUUAGAUAUUGGGCUCAUUAUAAUGCUUGUAAGUUUGAUAAUAGUUAGUCUAAACGUUGAAUUGUUACCAUUAGUUAAUUGAUUUGUGUAAUUAUAUUUAUUAAGUAAUAUUUAUAAAUAAAGUUAAGGCAAUUAGUACAAUAAUAGGGCUAGUAUUAAUAAUUAAUGUUUGUUUGUUGAUAUUGCAAAAAUAAUCUUGUUCUGGUAACUCUGCUUAAGUUUUUGGGCUUUCGAAUGAGACUAAAACUGUAGGUAUGUGUGUCCGCAACAAAUAAAGCUGUCUGAAAGCUGCUGAUAAUAUUGCAAGUCAAAAAUACAUAAAUUAAUAAUUUUACAGACAA